UAUUCCCCGUUCAACCUCACCCCUUCUUGUUUUUUAACCGCCUAUAUACCGCCGUCGUCAGCUCACCCUGUGAAGGAUGAAUAGUAAGCAAGAUUGGCAAAGCCUAAAACGUCAGGUCAAGGUGUAGCGUACGGAGGGGAAAGAAAUGGGCUACAUUUGCUGACGCAGCAAACACGAACGAUGCACUGAAAUAAGCAUCUGAAGGAGGAUUUAGCAGUAAGGGGGGAAUAGAGCGCUCCCCUGAAGACGGCCCUGAAGCGCGC
rnacentral:rRNA from 1 species